AGAGUUUGAUCCUGGCUCAGGAUGAACGCUAGCGGCAGGCCUAAUACAUGCAAGUCGAACGGAGCAGCAAUGCUCAGUGGCGCACGGGUGCGUAACGCGUAUGCAACCUACCUGUAAGCGGGGGAUAGCCCGUCGAAAGACGGAUUAAUACCCCAUGAGAUGAGUGAAUGGCAUCAUUUACUUCUUAAACAUUUAUGGUUUACAGAUGGGCAUGCGUAAGAUUAGCUAGUUGGUGAGGUAGCAGCUCACCAAGGCGAUGAUCUUUAGGGGUUCUGAGAGGAAGAUCCCCCACACUGGUACUGAGAUACGGACCAGACUCCUACGGGAGGCAGCAGUAGGGGAUAUUGGGCAAUGGAGGCAACUCUGACCCAGCCAUGCCGCGUGCAGGAAGAAGGCCUUCUGGGUUGUAAACUGCUUUUGGAAGGGAACAAAACGGCUCUGCGGAGCAACUUGAGUGUACCUUCAGAAUAAGCACCGGCUAACUCCGUGCCAGCAGCCGCGGUAAUACGGAGGGUGCAAGCGUUGUCCGGAUUUAUUGGGUUUAAAGGGUGCGUAGACGGCCUAUUAAGUCAGGGGUGAAAGACUGCAGCUUAACUGUAGCAGUGCCUUUGAUACUGAUGGGCUUGAGUACAGAUGAGGCUGGCGGAAUGGGUGGUGUAGCGGUGAAAUGCAUAGAUACCAUCCAGAACACCGAUUGCGAAGGCAGCCGGCUAAACUGUAACUGACGCUGAGGCACGAAAGCGUGGGGAUCGAACAGGAUUAGAUACCCUGGUAGUCC
rnacentral:rRNA from 1 species